rnacentral:rRNA from 1 species
GUGAGGAAUAUUGGUCAAUGGGCGGGAGCCUGAACCAGCCAAGUCGCGUGAAGGAAGAAGGAUCUAUGGUUCGUAAACUUCUUUUGCAGGGGAAUAAAGUGCAGGACGUGUCCUGUUUUGUAUGUACCCUGAGAAUAAGGAUCGGCUAACUCCGUGCCAGCAGCCGCGGUAAUACGGAGGAUCCGAGCGUUAUCCGGAUUUAUUGGGUUUAAAGGGUGCGUAGGUGGUUUGAUAAGUCAGCGGUGAAAGUUUGCAGCUUAACUGUAAAAAUGCCGUUGAAACUGUCGGACUUGAGUGUAAAUGAGGUAGGCGGAAUGCGUGGUGUAGCGGUGAAAUGCAUAGAUAUCACGCAGAACUCCGAUUGCGAAGGCAGCUUACUAAGCUACAACUGACACUGAAGCACGAAAGCGUGGGGAUCAAACAGGAUUAGAUACCCGAGUGUCC